GUGGAUAUAAUUCAGUGGUAGAAUGCUUGCCUGGCAUGUACAAGUCCCUGGGUUCAAUUCUCAGCACU
rnacentral:tRNA from 1 species